rnacentral:rRNA from 1 species
CCUACGGGAGGCAGCAGUGGGGAAUUUUCCGCAAUGGGCGAAAGCCUGACGGAGCAAUACCGCGUGAGGGAAGACUGCCUAUGGGCUGUAAACCUCUUUUUUCAGGGAGGAAUCAAUGACGUGUACCUGAAGAAUAAGCAUCGGCUAACUCCGUGCCAGCAGCCGCGGUAAGACGGAGGAUGCAAGUGUUAUCCGGAAUCACUAGGCGUAAAGCGUCUGUAGGUGGUUUAAUAAGUCAACUGUUAAAUCUUGAGGCUCAACUUCAAGAUCGCAGUCGAAACUAUUAGACUAGAGUAUAGUAGAGGUAAAGGGAAUUUCCAGUGGAGCGGUGAAAUGCGUANAUAUUGGAAAGAACACCGAUGGCGAAAGCACUUUACUGGGCUAUUACUAACACUCAUAGACGAAAGCUAGGGUAGCAAAUGGGAUUA